GCGUACACGGUGGAUGCCCUGGCAGUCAGAGGCGAUGAAGGACGUGCUAAUCUGCGAUAAGCGUCGGUAAGGUGAUAUGAACCGUUAUAACCGGCGAUUUCCGAAUGGGGAAACCCAGUGUGAUUCGUCACACUAUCAUUAACUGAAUCCAUAGGUUAAUGAGGCGAACCGGGGGAACUGAAACAUCUAAGUACCCCGAGGAAAAGAAAUCAACCGAGAUUCCCCCAGUAGCGGCGAGCGAACGGGGAGCAGCCCAGAGCCUGAAUCAGUGUGUGUGUUAGUGGAAGCGUCUGGAAAGGCGCGCGAUACAGGGUGACAGCCCCGUACACAAAAAUGCACAUGCUGUGAGCUCGAUGAGUAGGGCGGGACACGUGGUAUCCUGUCUGAAUAUGGGGGGACCAUCCUCCAAGGCUAAAUACUCCUGACUGACCGAUAGUGAACCAGUACCGUGAGGGAAAGGCGAAAAGAACCCCGGCGAGGGGAGUGAAAAAGAACCUGAAACCGUGUACGUACAAGCAGUGGGAGCACGCUUAGGCGUGUGACUGCGUACCUUUUGUAUAAUGGGUCAGCGACUUAUAUUCUGUAGCAAGGUUAACCGAAUAGGGGAGCCGAAGGGAAACCGAGUCUUAACUGGGCGUUAAGUUGCAGGGUAUAGACCCGAAACCCGGUGAUCUAGCCAUGGGCAGGUUGAAGGUUGGGUAACACUAACUGGAGGACCGAACCGACUAAUGUUGAAAAAUUAGCGGAUGACUUGUGGCUGGGGGUGAAAGGCCAAUCAAACCGGGAGAUAGCUGGUUCUCCCCGAAAGCUAUUUAGGUAGCGCCUCGUGAAUUCAUCUCCGGGGGUAGAGCACUGUUUCGGCAAGGGGGUCAUCCCGACUUACCAACCCGAUGCAAACUGCGAAUACCGGAGAAUGUUAUCACGGGAGACACACGGCGGGUGCUAACGUCCGUCGUGAAGAGGGAAACAACCCAGACCGCCAGCUAAGGUCCCAAAGUCAUGGUUAAGUGGGAAACGAUGUGGGAAGGCCCAGACAGCCAGGAUGUUGGCUUAGAAGCAGCCAUCAUUUAAAGAAAGCGUAAUAGCUCACUGGUCGAGUCGGCCUGCGCGGAAGAUGUAACGGGGCUAAACCAUGCACCGAAGCUGCGGCAGCGACACUAUGUGUUGUUGGGUAGGGGAGCGUUCUGUAAGCCUGUGAAGGUGUACUGUGAGGUAUGCUGGAGGUAUCAGAAGUGCGAAUGCUGACAUAAGUAACGAUAAAGCGGGUGAAAAGCCCGCUCGCCGGAAGACCAAGGGUUCCUGUCCAACGUUAAUCGGGGCAGGGUGAGUCGACCCCUAAGGCGAGGCCGAAAGGCGUAGUCGAUGGGAAACAGGUUAAUAUUCCUGUACUUGGUGUUACUGCGAAGGGGGGACGGAGAAGGCUAUGUUGGCCGGGCGACGGUUGUCCCGGUUUAAGCGUGUAGGCUGGUUUUCCAGGCAAAUCCGGAAAAUCAAGGCUGAGGCGUGAUGACGAGGCACUACGGUGCUGAAGCAACAAAUGCCCUGCUUCCAGGAAAAGCCUCUAAGCAUCAGGUAACAUCAAAUCGUACCCCAAACCGACACAGGUGGUCAGGUAGAGAAUACCAAGGCGCUUGAGAGAACUCGGGUGAAGGAACUAGGCAAAAUGGUGCCGUAACUUCGGGAGAAGGCACGCUGAUAUGUAGGUGAAGUCCCUCGCGGAUGGAGCUGAAAUCAGUCGAAGAUACCAGCUGGCUGCAACUGUUUAUUAAAAACACAGCACUGUGCAAACACGAAAGUGGACGUAUACGGUGUGACGCCUGCCCGGUGCCGGAAGGUUAAUUGAUGGGGUCAGCGCAAGCGAAGCUCUUGAUCGAAGCCCCGGUAAACGGCGGCCGUAACUAUAACGGUCCUAAGGUAGCGAAAUUCCUUGUCGGGUAAGUUCCGACCUGCACGAAUGGCGUAAUGAUGGCCAGGCUGUCUCCACCCGAGACUCAGUGAAAUUGAACUCGCUGUGAAGAUGCAGUGUACCCGCGGCAAGACGGAAAGACCCCGUGAACCUUUACUAUAGCUUGACACUGAACAUUGAGCCUUGAUGUGUAGGAUAGGUGGGAGGCUUUGAAGUGUGGACGCCAGUCUGCAUGGAGCCGACCUUGAAAUACCACCCUUUAAUGUUUGAUGUUCUAACGUGGACCCGUAAUCCGGGUUGCGGACAGUGUCUGGUGGGUAGUUUGACUGGGGCGGUCUCCUCCUAAAGAGUAACGGAGGAGCACGAAGGUUGGCUAAUCCUGGUCGGACAUCAGGAGGUUAGUGCAAUGGCAUAAGCCAGCUUGACUGCGAGCGUGACGGCGCGAGCAGGUGCGAAAGCAGGUCAUAGUGAUCCGGUGGUUCUGAAUGGAAGGGCCAUCGCUCAACGGAUAAAAGGUACUCCGGGGAUAACAGGCUGAUACCGCCCAAGAGUUCAUAUCGACGGCGGUGUUUGGCACCUCGAUGUCGGCUCAUCACAUCCUGGGGCUGAAGUAGGUCCCAAGGGUAUGGCUGUUCGCCAUUUAAAGUGGUACGCGAGCUGGGUUUAGAACGUCGUGAGACAGUUCGGUCCCUAUCUGCCGUGGGCGCUGGAGAACUGAGGGGGGCUGCUCCUAGUACGAGAGGACCGGAGUGGACGCAUCACUGGUGUUCGGGUUGUCAUGCCAAUGGCACUGCCCGGUAGCUAAAUGCGGAAGAGAUAAGUGCUGAAAGCAUCUAAGCACGAAACUUGCCCCGAGAUGAGUUCUCCCUGACUCCUUGAGAGUCCUGAAGGAACGUUGAAGACGACGACGUUGAUAGGCCGGGUGUGUAAGCGCAGCGAUGCGUUGAGCUAACCGGUACUAAUGAACCGUGAGGCUUAACCUU
rnacentral:rRNA from 1 species